UACAGAGGGUGCGAGCGUUGUCCGGAAUCACUGGGCGUAAAGGGCGCGUAGGUGGCUAGGUAAGCGUGUGGUGAAAGUCCGGGGCUCAACCCCGGAUCUGCCGUGCGAACUGCCAGGCUUGAGCAAUUUAGAGGCAGGUGGAAUUUCGGGUGUAGCGGUGGAAUGCGUAGAUAUCCGAAAGAACACCAGUGGCGAAGGCGGCCUGCUGGGCAUUUGCUGACACUGAGGUGCGAUAGUGUGGGGAGCAAACAGG
rnacentral:rRNA from 1 species